CGCUCUGUAUAAGGGUGGGGUGAGAAUUGACCCGAAAUCUUUUAAAAUCGGGCGAAGCCCUAACUAGUUUAGGUUUGAGCUUUCUCUCAUUCCCUUCAUAUCAGUUCUAUAAGCCAGUUCAAUUUUGGUUGCAAUUGCAAAAGGACGGGACUACGAGAGUACGAGUAUCCUCUAAACCGCAGAAACAAGGGUAAAGAACAAACAGAUUAAAGCAAAAUUCCCAAUUCAUAUGCAAUGUUCAUUGGUCAGGAAGUGACGAAGAUUACAUCGAAGAAUCACCAGAGGAGUGGAAGAUUGUUAUUUGAUGGUUAUGACUUGUGAGUUACGGAAGCAGAGAGAUCCAUAAAUUAUACCAAUAUUGCGGGGAUUCCUUGUACUACCCACUUGGAGCAGUAUAAUCACCCUUUAUAUGGAUGGAUGGCAGCAUCCCUUGGAAUUCUUGGUCCAUACUUAAGGAAAGUCAAAUAUUUUUGUAUAAUAAGAGAUUUACAAGUAUCUUGGCAGAGGAGUGGAAGAUUUUUAUUUGAUGGUUAUGACUUGUUAGUUACGGAAGCAGAGAGAUCCAUCACAAUAUUAUACCAACAAUGCGGAAUUUCCUUGUACUACCAACUAGGAGCAGUAUAAUCACCCUUUAUAUGGAUGGAUGGCAGCAUCCCUUGGAAUUCUUGGUCCAUACUUAAGGAUUCCGUAAAAAUAUUGGAUACUUCAUAGCUCAUACAAGGAUGUUCACCAAAGAUGGUAAAAGUCUAACAUAUUCUAUGGAACUUUUGGAAGCAUACUCCUGACCACAGGAAUUUACAGCAAGUAAAUUUACAAAGCAUUUUGAAUGCUUCACCAGAUCCACUCAUGCCAAAGUAGUAAAUGGGGAUUCAGUAAGUUGUCAGUAUUCACAACAUCGUAUCAGCUGCUGCUGUAAGAAUGGGGAGACGACGGUGUUGCAUGUAUCACGGUACUGGGACUGAUGAUAUACUCUUGGGGCCUUUAGACAGCUGAACAAACUUUCUUGUCAGGCUUCCAGCUUUCCAACUAAAAAAUGUCUGAGGUUGCACAAAGUAGCUUAAAUUAAGAGUCGACUUUGGCGUUAAACUGGCUGCUGUUUCCAGCCGCAAAAACUGCCCAUAUGGUAAAAGGAGCUGCAGGUGAAUUCAAGUUGACAAUAAAGUAGAAUGAAUCACUUGUCAUGUGACCAUGAUUUGCUGAUGUAUUGUUGAGGAGUUGCUAACUUUCCCUGAUAUUUGGAGUGCUUAGCAUCUUCACUUCUUCAGCAUCAUAUCUGGUUUUGUGUACUUCCUCUACUUUACCAUCAUGUGUUUGCACGUUCUCGAAAGUAGUUUCAUUGCACUAGCUUAUAGUAGCUUUGCAACUACAUUGAGUAUCUUGUUUUACGUAUCACAGAGUAUCUUGUUUUAGACUCAGUCCUCAGAGUUUUUCAUUUAUUCUUAUUAUCGGGUUCAAGUCAAGUUGGAUGAAUCUUGUGGUCCAUUUGGUAGUCGGUAGUAAAUUGUGCUAUGGAGUACUUGUUUUGAACUUGUGUAAUUUUAGGGGAGUUCUCAUGUCAUUGUAAAUGCAUGUUAUGGUAUUUGUUGAAUAAUUAUGAAAUUUCUUCCUAAUACUUUAAAAUCUCUACACAAUUG